CUCCGCCCUCUCUGUCCUUCGGUGGAGACUCCGGGAAAAACCUGCCUCCCAGUCUGCCCUCUCUCCGUCUGUCUGUGCUUGUUUUUCUACGUUUAUCCCUGUCGCUUUCCCCACUUAUUCUGCAGGCAUGGCGCGCCCCCAGUGCCGGCUUGGUGCCAGGGCUGGGAGAUCCGGGGGUGAAUCGUGAGCCCGGCCCACAGCGAGCUUGCAGUCUAGAGAUCAAGGCAGUCUUGUCCACAACCUGCUGUCACAUAAAGCAAAUGUAGCUGGUGUAGCACCAGGGGCUGCAAUCAAGUGCGGUGGGGCGGCAAUAGUGACCACGGAAAUAAUCAGAAUUGCUUUUAAUUCAGCUCCUACUAUAUUCCCGCAUCCCUGAGCCUCACAAUCAUCCUCCAAGGUAGGUAUUUUUGUCUUUCUCUAACAGAUGAAAACUCUGAGUUUCAGAAGAAUUAAAUGACAUCCCCCCAAAAGAGAGACAGUAUAAGAAUCCAAGUCAACCUGAGUCCAAAACCAGUGGCCCUUAACACUGUGUGGCUUUAUGGAGGACAUGGAGUUUAAGUUUACCUUCAAGGAUGAGCAACACUUUUCUUCAAGCAGAAAAAGAAGGGAAUGGGUGAACACGGUCCCAGGCUGCAGCAGCCCCCAUCGAGGCCACUCAUUUACAGCACAGGCCCACACAGUCUGACAAAGGACAGCUGCAAUCCUCUGUCAACUGCAGUCCUUUCCCAGGCACAUGCUGGAUUGGGAAACAGACAUUUAUCAAGCACCUACUCUGUGCCUAGCAUUGUGCUAGGUGCUAGAGAGCCAAAAAUAAAUAGCAGCUGCUCUUGUGGAGGUCACAGUCUUGGAGGAGUUAAAGACACGGAAACAAAUUACAACACAGCGUAACAGCAGUGACAGAAGCACGUAUGAUAUGGUUUGACUGUGGCCCCACCAAAUCUCAUCCUGAAUUGUAGUUCCCAUAAUCCCCACUUGUGGUGGG
rnacentral:lncRNA from 1 species